UACAGGGGGGGCAAGCGUUGUUCGGAAUUACUGGGCGUAAAGGGCCAGUAGGCGGCCAACUAAGUCCGACGUGAAAUCCCAAGGCUUAACCUUGGAACUGCGUCGGAUACUGGAUGGCUUGAAUUCGGGAGAGGGAUGCAGAAUUCCAGGUGUAGCGGUGAAAUGCGUAGAUAUCUGGAGGAAUACCGGUGGCGAAGGCGGCAUCCUGGACCGACAUUGACGCUGAUGAGCGAAAGCUAGGGGAGCAAACGGGG
rnacentral:rRNA from 1 species